UGGGGAAUCUUGCACAAUGGGGGAAACCCUGAUGCAGCGACGCCGCGUGAGUGAUGACGCCCUUCGGGGUGUAAAGCUCUUUCGGCAGGGACGAUAAUGACGGUACCUGAAGAAGAAGCUGCGGCUAACUACGUGCCAGCAGCCGCGGUAAUACGUAGGCAGCGAGCGUUGUUCGGAGUUACUGGGCGUAAAGAGUGCGUAGGCGGUUUUCUAAGUUUGGUGUGAAAUCUCCCGGCUUAACUGGGAGGGUGCGCCGAAGACUGGAAGGCUUGAGUAUGGGAGAGGUAAGCGGAAUUCCUGGUGUAGCGGUGAAAUGCGUAGAUAUCAGGAGGAACACCUGCGGUGUAGACGGCUUACUGGACCAUAACUGACGCUGAGGCACGAAAGCGUGGGUAGCAAACAGGAUUAGAUACCCUGGUAGUCCACGCCCUAAACGAUGCAUACUUGGUGUGGGUAGUUCAUUCUAUCCGUGCCGGAGCUAACGCGUUAAGUAUG
rnacentral:rRNA from 1 species